UGUAGGUUCCUGUCGUUGUUGAUCAGGCUGGUUGCAAUGCAAAUGAGGAUAUAAAUUUUAGAUUCACCGGGCAUGCUCAGUUUCUUUAGGUUCACCGUGUCUGGAAGAGUUGUGGGAUCUGUUGGUGGAGAGAGCUGUUUAAAUAAAAAUGGGGGUCCAUCAAAUGUAAAUGUUGAGCUUUUAUCUCCCACGGGUGAUCUUGUCACAUCUGUUUUAACAUCACCAACAGGAAGUUACUCGUUCACUAACAUUAUCCCAGG